GACGAACGCUGGCGGCGUGCUUAACACAUGCAAGUCGAACGGUGAAGCGCCUUCCUUUUUGGUGGGUGUGGAUGAGUGGCGAACGGGUGAGUAACACGUGAGUAACCUGCCCCCUUCUUCUGGAUAACCGCAUGAAAGAGUGGCUAAUACGGGAUAUUCUGGGUCUGUCGCAUGAUGGGUCUGGGAAAGAUAUUGUUUCGGUGGGGGAUGGGCUCGCGGCCUAUCAGCUUGUUGGUGGGGUGAUGGCCUACCAAGGCGGUGACGGGUAGCCGGCCUGGGAGGGUGGACGGUCACGCUGGGGCUGAGACACGGCCCAGACUCCGACGGGCGGCAGCAGUGGGUAAUAUUGCACGAUGGGCGCAAGCCUGGUGCAGCGACGCCGCGUGAGGGAUGGAGGCCUUCGGGUUGUGAACCUCUUUCGCCAGUGAAGCAGGCCUGCCUCGUUUGUGGGUGGGUUGACGGUAGCUGGAUAAGAAGCGCCGGCUAACUACGUG
rnacentral:rRNA from 1 species